rnacentral:rRNA from 1 species
UACUUCUAAGGAAGGCAGCAGGCGCGCAAAUUACCUAAUCCUUAUUCAGGGAGGUAGUGACAAGAAAUAACAAUAGUUCGGCUUCUAGCCAGACUAAUUGGAAUGGGCACAAUUUAAACAUCUUGACGAGAAACAAUUGGAGGGCAAGUCUGGUACCAGCAGCCGCGGUAAUUCCAGCUCCAAUAGCGUAUACUAAAGUUGUUGCAGUUAAAAAGCUCGUAGUUGGAUUUCUGCUCGAGAGGAACGUCUGGCGUUAUUAACGUUUAGGCUGAGUUCUCGUGCAUCUGCUCACGAACCAUAUUGCUCUUAACUGAGUGACGUCGGGGAUUGAUUCAUUUACUUUGAGAAAAAUAAAGUGUUUAAAGCAGGUUUAUGCAUCUGAAUAAGUUAGCAUGGAAUAAUGAUAAAGGACUUUGGUACUAUUUGUUGGUGUUAGAAACUGAAGUAAUGAUUAAUAGGGACAGUUGGGGGCAUUAGUAUUCUGAAGCAAGAGGUGAAAUUCUAGGACCUUUGGAAGACUAACUGCUGCGAAAGCGUUUGCCAAGGAUGUUCCCUUUGAUCAAGAACGAAAGUUGGGGGAUCGAAGACGAUCAGAUACCGUCGUAGUCUCAACUAUAAACUAUACCAACUAGGGAUCAGCCGGCGUUUUUUUCAACGGGCCCGGUUGGCACCUUUUGAGAAAUCAAAGUAUUUGGGUUCCGGGGGGAGUAUGGUCGCAAGGCUGAAACUUAAAGGAAUUGACGGAAGGGCACCACCAGGUGUGGAGCCUGUGGCUUAAUUUGACUCAACACGGGAAAACUUACCAGGUCCAGACAUAAUUAGGAUUGACAGAUUGAGAGCCCUUUCUUGAUUUUAUGGGUGGUGGUGCAUGGCCGUUCUUAGUUGGUGGAGUGAUUUGUCUGGUUAAUUCCGUUAACGAACGAGACCCCAGCCUGCUAAAUAGCGCACGUGUGCGUUUGCAUGCGGUGAGCUUCUUAGAGGGACCAUAGCUCGCAAUACAGUCCAGGGAAGUUUGGGGCAAUAACAGGUCUGUGAUGCCCUUAGAUGUUCUGGGCCGCACACGGGCUACAUUGAUGCAUGCAAUGAGCAUAUCAGCUGGCUAUAAAUAGUCUUUGGCUAACCUUUUGAACUUGCAUCGUACUAGGGAUUGACUAUUGUAAUUGUUAGUCAUGCAACGAGGAAUAUCUUGUAAAUAUGAGUCAUCAACUCACAUUGAAUAUGUCCCUGCCCUUUGUACACACCGCCCGUCGCUCCUACCGAUGAAUGUUCCGAUGAAAUUUUUAGAGGGGUUUUAUAAUCUGGGUUUACCCGGACGUCCGAAAUCGCAAAAUUGUUUAAAUCUGAAUAUUUCGAGG